UACAGAGGGUGCAAGCGUUAAUCGGAAUUACUGGGCGUAAAGCGUGCGCAGAUGGUUGCGUAAGUCAGAUGUGAAAGCCCCGGGCUCAACCUGGGAAUUGCAUUUGAGACUGCGUAGCUAGGGUGCGGAAGAGGGAAGCGGAAUUUCCGGUGUAGCGGUGAAAUGCGUAGAUAUCGGAAGGAACACCAGUGGCGAAAGCGGCUUCCUGGUCCAGCACCGACGUUCAGGCACGAAAGCGUGGGGAGCGAACAGG
rnacentral:rRNA from 1 species